AACGAACGUUGGCGGCGUGGAUUAGGCAUGCAAGUCGAACGAAUCCCAGUCCCGUAGCAAUACGGGGCUGGGGGAAGUGGCGAAAGGGGCAGUAAGGCAUGGCUAACCUACCCCGGGGGACGGGCAUAGCCUCCCUAACGGGAGGGUAAUUCCCGGCGAUUUGCCGAGGGGGCAUCCCCCGGCAGGAAACGAAUUUCGCCUCGGGAGGGGGUCAUGUGCUAUUAGCUAGACGGCGGGGUAACGGCCCACCGUGGCAAAGAUGGCUAGCGGGUGUGAGAGCACGACCCGCGCCACUGGCACUGAGACACUGGCCAGACUCCUACGGGAGGCUGCAGUCGAGGAUCUUCGGCAAUGGGCGCAAGCCUGACCG
rnacentral:rRNA from 1 species